rnacentral:ncRNA from 2 species
UCAGCACGACAUCGAUGGCGACACCAGUAAUUCUGGUGUGUGGAGAUAGGCUGACGAAAGUCAGGCCAGCAUAAGCUGCGAAUGGGUAACACCCAUGGUAUCUCGUAUGAGUUCAACAUUUCGCCCACCCGAUGCACAGAUGUCUGCUG